UUCCAUCUGAGCUUUGUGGCAGUGUUGACUUGUGUAGCUGCAGUAUUAUGCCUUUGGAUAUUCCCUAACUUUUGCGCGAACUACUCCUUAAGAGUUUCAGUUCACCGGGAGAUUUUACCCUUUUUUGCUUAAGUCGCCCUUUCGGGUUUUCGACUUACCGGGCUUAAUAAUUUUUUUUGUUUAUCCCUAAUUUUUGCCUGAGCCGCCCUUUCGGGUUUUCAAUUCACCGGGAUGCUCAUUUUUUUUAAGUCGCCCUUUCGAGUUUUCAACUUAGCGAGCUUU
rnacentral:lncRNA from 1 species